GGGUCAAUGAUGAAAAAUCAUAUUGUCAUGAAGAAAGUUGAUGACAUAAAAGUCAGCUGAGGCUU